AAAAAAUUCCACGACGGACAGCUGGGGAGAAAAAACUCCGUUUUAGUGCAAUUUGUAGUGAAUUUCAUAGGAUUUUUUGCUCGUACUUACCUGGCGUAGGUGUUAAUUGUGUUUCUUAUUGCGAGUGAUUUCCGAGAAAGCGGAUUAGGCUUUUCAGGAUGAACUCGACGGAUGUGUCUUCUCCGGAGGAGAAGAAGAAGAGGCACAAGAAGGACAAGAAGAAAAAGCAUAAAAAAUCCGGGAAGAGCGAUCGGAUUGACAAGGGAAAGAAGCAUAAGCACAAAAAGCGUCGAAAGGAGGAGGAAGCUGAACAGGAAGUUGUUCCUAUUGUUGUGCUGGAUGAUGAGCCAGUGCCCAAGAAACCCCUGGUGGAGGCCUCCAAUGGGCACUCUGUGGGGAAGGGCAAGAAGAGCGGCAAGAUCCCAACGGACCCAACGAAACUGGUGGAGAUUAUCACGAAGAGCUUGGAUCCAACAUCAGGACCAGCCCUGGAGAUUGUCUCAUCGGAGUCUGAUGACACUGAGGGUCUCGUGGAAGAUGUCGCCAGUCCGGACGUGGCGGUGAUCGAAGAUGAUCUCAACUUGGAGGAGUUGAUGAAGCAGAAGGCGCUACUGCAGGCGCGUCUCGGCGCCUAUUUAAGUGACUCCGAGGUUGACGAUGGACAUAGUAAGGGAAAAAGUGGUGAGAAAGAUGGUAAAGGGAAAACAGAAUCAGAUGUCAUUUUAUUGGACGAUUCCAGUGGUGAAGCGAUCACGAAGGUCGACGCUGCCAAAAGGCAUCGCAGUCGGUCGCAAAGCCACAAUCGGAAAAUCAUUGAUCGUCGUGGGCGCGAUGAGAAGCCCGAUAGGAGGCGUCAGGAGGUUGAAAAAAGUCGCGGCCGGCGUGAGAUAGAGAAUCGCCAGAAGGAAGACCUUAGGCGAGAGCUGGAGCGUGACAGGGAGCGCAAUUUCCGGGAGCGGGAGCGCAUGAAGCGGCACGAGAGGCAGGAGAUGGAGAGGAAUCGCCAGCGCGAUCGAUCCUUCAUGGCCAGACGCGGCAGGAGUCCCGACAGGCGCAUGGACAGAAGUCCAGAGAAGUUCAGGAUGCGUCCGGGUGGCAGGGAGAAAUUCAGAGAUCGUCGCGAGAAGGAGGAGGUGAAGGAUAAGUACAAGGAUUCACUCAGUGAGGGUCAAGUGCAUCCCAAGAAUCGUAAGGAUUCCAGUAGCGAGAGUGAAAUGGGGGAUAUUGACAUCAAAGAUGAGGAGGAUGAAGAGAAGAUCAUCGAGCAGAGGAGGAAGCGUCGUGAGGAAUUGCUUAAGAAAUUGGGAGCAGGAAGUGAAGACAGCAAUCCGGCGAUGACUUCUCGAGAGCCAUCAGUGUGCCACAUUUCAGAGACGACGACACCAAAAAUCAAGACUCCUCCACAAACACCGAAGAAGGACAAAAGCCCCGAGAAGGCAAUUGAAGACUCUCUAACGCCACCGAUUCCGGCCUCGAGGAAGGAUUUGCAGGCGAUGAUGCAGGAGAAAAAGCAGCCAGUAAAGGAGGUUCGUCCAGUGAAGGAGAAUAAUGCCAAAAGGGGAGAAUGGGACAUGUUUGCUGAGCAAGACAUUGCUUCAAACUAUGAUUCUCCCAGUACAAUAGUCGCCAGCAAGCAGACUCACGAGAAUCCUGCGCUCACGGACAACUGGGAUGACGCUGAGGGUUACUAUCGUGUGAGAAUUGGUGAAAUUUUGGACAAUCGCUACAUUGUAUCGAGCUACACUGGUCAGGGUGUGUUCAGUAACGUCGUUCGGGCGAGGGAUCAGGCCAGAGGGAAUGUGAACGUGGCGGUGAAGAUCAUCAGGAACAAUGAGAUCAUGCACAAGACAGGCCUUCGCGAGUUAGAAAUCUUGAAGAAGCUCAAUGAUGCCGAUCCGGAUGAUAGAUUCCACUGCCUGCGUCUGUUCAGGCACUUUUUCCACAAGCAGCAUCUCUGCAUGGUACUAGAGCCGCUCUCAAUGAACCUGAGAGAGGUGCUGAAGAAGUACGGCAAGAAUGUGGGACUGCACAUCAAGGCAGUGCGGAGUUACACGCAGCAACUCUUGCUUUCUCUAAAGCUGUUGAAAAAGACAGGCAUUCUGCAUGCUGACAUAAAGCCAGACAACAUUCUAGUGAAUGAGAGUCAUUUGAUCCUCAAGCUUUGCGAUUUUGGCUCGGCAUCAGUCAUCACGGACAACGAGAUCACGCCAUAUCUUGUGUCGCGAUUCUAUCGCGCUCCUGAAAUCAUUCUAGGCAUUCAGUAUGACUAUGGGAUUGAUAUGUGGUCGGCGGGAUGCACAAUCUAUGAGCUGUACACAGGAAAGAUCCUAUUCAGCGGGAAAUCUAACAAUCAGAUGCUGAAGUUCUUCAUGGAUCUCAAGGGGAAGUUCCCGAACAAAGUCAUUCGCCGAGGUCAGUUUCGGGAGCAGCACUUUGAUCAGAAUUGCAACUUUCUCUACCAUGAGAUUGAUAAGAUCACAGAAAGGGAAAAGAUUGUGGUUCAGUCGGUGAUCAAGCCGACCCGCGAUUUGCAGCAAGAAUUGAUUGCUGAUCAAAAUCUGCCCGAGGAUCAGCACAGGAAAGUGACUCAGCUGAAGGAUUUGCUGGAGAAACUCUUCGUGUUGGAUCCGGCGAAGAGAAUAUCAUUGAAUCAGGCUCUAGCGCAUCCCUUUAUUCAAGAUAAGAUGUGAAGAAAUAACCCUGGUUUCGGCGAGAUCCUCAUCCCGGAUGGGUUUGAGUGCCUUUUAGUGCCGAUCCCGUUAAGAGAUUAACGCUUGAGGCAUUAAUGAAGGGUUAGUGAAUUGUGACUCGAUGAAUCUUUGAAAUGAGACUCAAUUUUGUUUCUGAUGAAGUCUUACAAAAUGUCUUUCUAGUUUUUUUCUCGUUCCUCUGUCUUGCAGAUUGACCCGGAAGCACACAGAGAGUGGUUCAGAAUGCUCGGCUAAACCUAGUCUCCAAAUUCAUGCCACCAGAUAGACUGAAGGAAAGAUCUUCACUCGUGACGGGCAAGGCGAUGAUGUCCCUGAUGGAUUCACAGUCCUGGAGUGUUGGCAGAGAUUCUUUCUGUGUGCUUCGCAGGGCAAUCUUUAUAUGUUUGCAU